GUGCCGCAGCCGCGGUAAUACCGGCAGCCCGAGUGAUGGCCGAUCUUAUUGGGCCUAAAGCGUCCGUAGCUGGCCGCACAAGUCCAUCGGAAAAUCCACCCGCCCAACGGGUGGGCGUCCGGUGGAAACUGUGUGGCUUGGGACCGGAAGGCGCGACGGGUACGUCCGGGGUAGGAGUGAAAUCCCGUAAUCCUGGACGGACCGCCGAUGGCGAAAGCACGUCGCGAGGACGGAUCCGACAGUGAGGGACGAAAGCCAGGGUCUCGAACCGGAUUAGAUACCCGCGUAGUCC
rnacentral:rRNA from 1 species